AAGACUAUACUUAACAGGAUCAUUUCUGUAGUAGCAUAGUUCUUCCUACUUUCCAAUCUUGGAGAGUCCCAACCCACGAUGAUGAGAUUCGUUCUCUCUUCUGAGCGUGAGGCAGAUGUACUUUCGGCGUAAGUCGAUGGUACAUCAUCGAUGAUCGCACCUCCUUCGGGAGUCGGGAGAGAGGACAAUCUGAGUGGUC
rnacentral:snoRNA from 1 species